GCCGGUCCCGUGCCGGGGGAAGCCUCUCGGCGGGGGCGGGCUGCGGCGAGUGGAACAGGGACUCGCGCCGGCGCGUGUGCGGGCUUUCCGGCAGGAAGGCCCAGCCUUCGCGGCCCGCCAGCCACAUGCGCUGGAUGGGGGUAAUGAAAGUGCGAGCUCCGAGAGGCCCGAAGGUGCCAAAUGCGGGGUCUCUGUGGCGGUCUGGGGAGUUGGCUGGACGAGGAGAGAAGAGGAGAGGAGUCCGAGGCGGAGCCUGGGAAGCACAGGCCACUGCUGACAAUGUGAGGCCCACGUCAACUGCAGGCCAGGCAUACCCACCAUCCUUUAGUCUCUCAAAGGCAUCAAGCUCAUUUCUUUCUUAGGACCCUCUCCCCUCCCCGGACCACUACCCCUUCAUCCUUAAGGCCUGGAGGCACUCUCUGACACCCAGCACUCCAUACUUUUCCUUUACGGCAUCAAUCACAUUUUUUCCCUGUGAUUUAUGUAUGCGAUUAUUCAAUGUCUUACUAGACUGUACACAUCAUGAGGACAGUGCUUAGAACAGGGCAGGUGUUCAAUCAGGAUUGUUAAAUGAACUAAUGAUAUUAAGCAGAAUUGUACUUGAGUCACUUCUUUCCUCCAUUGUGCUAGGUGCUGGGGAGACAUAGGAUGGAGAGGAGUCUAAGGGGAGAGACAGACAAUAAAUGUGCAAAGAGCAACAACAAAAGAUUGUGAAAUGCAGGAAAUAAACAAGAUGAUUAUUUUGACCUGUGAUAUUUGAGGGUUUUGAGGGAACAAGCAUUUCUUAUGUGGACAUUCAAAGCCACCCCCCAGCCCCCGCAUUCCCGUGGCUCCUGACUCAGCUCGGCCCUGGGCCUGGUGGCAUGUCUGGGGCGGGUGGUCUUCGCGUCAUGCUGCAGCCAAGAACUGACGGCUUUGGCAUUAGUCAGUCUGGGACCUGGGCUCUGUGACACACUAGCUGUGCUGUGUGACCUCUGAUAGGUACCUUCAUCUCUCUGGGAUCCACCUUACCCAUCUGGAAAAUAGAGAAAAUAUACCUAACUCUCAGAGCAGGCAUGAGGAUUGCAUGAAAUCACACGGGCACCAGUGAGGUUGACUUCCGGCAAAGUACAAGAACACAGAAACCCCAACUCAGUCUGCUCUGACAAUAAGGACACUUUUGGCUUCUAUAAUAAGAAGUCCAGCGAUAGGGUAGAAUUCAGGGGAGCUUGAUUCUGUGCCUUUAUUCAUUCAUUUAUUCAUCCAUAGUUCUUUACUACCUUCUCUGGCAGGCACUGUGCCAGAAUCUGGGGACACAACAGUGAGAAAACAGAUAAAUCUCCUGGCCAGAUGGAGUUUAUACUUCAGUGGGGAAAGAAAGACAAUAGACCAAGAUAAAUUAGUAAAAAUAGUGUAUUGGAUGGAAGUCAGUGUUGGGGAGAAAAAUUAAAGUAGGGAAGGCUCCCAGACAGUAUCAGGAGAGUAUGCAAUUUUCAAUAGAGUGGUCAGGGUGGCCACUUGGGGAACCCUGCGAAGGAGGGAGGGAGGACAUGAAGGAGCCAGGGAGGAUAUGUGAGGCUAGAGCAUUCUAUGAAGAAAAGUUGCAGAUGCAAAGCAC